rnacentral:lncRNA from 1 species
GCCCGAUCGAACGACUCCUUCGCCGACUCUGCCUCCGCCUUCGCUAUAUCGACGUCGGCUUGGGCGAUUGACAAGUCCUCCUCGGCCUUGGCAAGAUUCUCCAGGCUAACUCGGAGCUGCUCGCGUUCGGCCUCGAGUUCGACGACGACGCCGUCCCGCUCGCACCGCAGUCGGUGAGCGGUCCGACCCUUGCGCUUGGCUUCCCCACGGGCCGACUUAAGUUCGGCCCC